GGUUCUCUAUAACAUGGUGGAGUAUUUUUGGAAGUUUGGAGGUUUGUUUCAUUGAUUUGGAAGUGAAGAAGUAGAAGGAAAAGAUUUUGGAGGAAACGGGAAUUGAACUUGGACAACCGUAAAAGGCCAAAAAGGUACCGAAGUUUGAUUUGCUGAUCCACCGGUUUAGGAC